AGCAGCCGCGGUAAUUCCAGCUCCAAUAGCGUAUAUUAAAGUUGUUGCAGUUAAAAAGCUCGUAGUUGAAUUUCGGGAUCAAUAUAUCGGUCAUGCUUAGGUAUGUACUGGUAUUAUUGAUUUUCUCCCUUCUGAAGAACCAUGAUGUCAUUAAUUUGAUGUCGUGGGGAAUCAGGACUGUUACUUUGAAAAAAUUAGAGUGUUUAAAGCAGGCAUUACGCUUGAAUACAUUAGCAUGGAAUAAUGAAAUAGGACGUUUGAUUCUAUUUUGUUGGUUUCUAGGAUCGACGUAAUGAUUAAUAGGGAUAGUUGGGGGCAUUAGUAUUCAAUUGUCAGAGGUGAAAUUCUUGGAUUUUAUUGAAGACUAACUACUGCGAAAGCAUUUGCCAAGGAUGUUUUCAUUAAUCAAAGAACGAAAGUUAGGGGAAUCGAGGACGAUCAGAUACCGUCGUAGUCUUAACCAUAAACUAUGCCGACUAGGGGAUCGGAUGAUGUUAAUUUUUAAUGACUCU
rnacentral:rRNA from 1 species